rnacentral:rRNA from 1 species
CGUAUGGCGAGCCUCUAACCCAGACCCGGUUAUCCGGGUCGGGAACAGCGUCAGGCGGGUAGUUUGACUGGGGCGGUCGCCUCCUAAAAUGUAACGGAGGCGCCCAAAGGUUCCCUCAGCCUGGUUGGCAAUCAGGCGUCGAGUGCAAUGGCAAAAGGGAGCUUGACUGCGAGACUGACAGGUCGAGCAGGAGCGAAAGCUGGGCAUAGUGAUCCGGCGGUUGCGUGUGGAAGCGCCGUCGCUCAACGGAUAAAAGGUACCCCGGGGAUAACAGGCUAAUCUUCCCCAAGAGUCCAUAUCGACGGGAAGGUUUGGCACCUCGAUGUCGGCUCAUCGCAUCCUGGGGCUGAAGCAGGUCCCAAGGGUUGGGCUGUUCGCCCAUUAAAGCGGUACGCGAGCUGGGUUUAGAACGUCGUGAGACAGUUCGGUCCCUAUCCUCUGUAGCCGCAGGUAGAUUGAGGAAAGCUAUCCCUAGUACGAGAGGAC